AUUACACCAGAGGCAGUGCCAGUGUUGCUUGCAAUCAGAGGGACAAUCUGACAGAAGUGGAAGAAGGAGCGCCUGGCCUCGGCGUCCUUCGUUCUCGAGCGUGUCGCGCGGGAUUCGAUUUUUAAACAGGAUUGAUUUUGUUUACUUUUCUUUUUAUUAUUAUUUUUUUAAGCUGUUUACGUUUUGUAUGUCUGCAUUGUGUUUGGGUUGGAUCUUCUGACAAGACAGCUGCCGAGAGAAUGGCGUUUCCAACCGAUGAUGUUUGCGAAGGUGGGAUUUUCGACGAGGCGAAUCAGCUGUGUCAUGUCGAGGU
rnacentral:lncRNA from 1 species